rnacentral:lncRNA from 1 species
AAUGUGUUUCGUUGGCUAGAAUAGAAGUCUCAGUUGGCCAGGAUGCAUUAUUUCAGUUUUGGCCACCAUGCAUGUUCAUUUGGAUAGUGUAACACCCCAACGGACACAGCGCUUGGAAUAUUACCACAUAACACCUUCGAAAUGAAAACAUGCCCUCAAAAGAAUUUCGGCAGAGUUUCCUCUAUUUCUAAGGACACCCACGACAUGCAAUUCAUAUAGUAUAUAUAUCGCAAAGAACUAGCACCGGUGUAAAGCACAAGGCUACAAUACCAUAACCGAGAACAUCCUCGGUAACUUUAGGCGAUAGCGUUAGUCUUAAGGGGAAAUUAGCUAAGCCAUACAGACCAAGAGGGUAUCUCUCCAAUUCAAGAUGAACCACCACAGGUAGUAAAGUACAACUAUACUAGGUUCUCAAAACACGGUCCUAAAGGACAAUAGGUGUGAGUUCCGUGAAGUGAAAACGGUGAAGAUGCUACUCCCAAGACUCCCAUGCAUGUCGUCCUCAGGAUUUACCUAAAACAAAUAAGCAACAAGGAUGAGUACAAAGACUCAGCAAGUACAUCCAUGAAUAGUAAGCAUUACAUAUGUCAAGAUACCAAAUCUCUAUUAAGCACCAUACACUCAUCAGCAAUCAACACGUGUAUUCAUGACUUACGUGCCUACAUGCUCAUCUCAUUUCAUUGCGUAUACCGGUAUCGCUCGAGUCGACGCCCGUCGACAUCCACUCACUCCAACUUGUGGAGGUUGCCUCCACAGUAGGUCGCAACCCAACAAUGGAGGUCUCAAUGUGCCUACCCAAGGUAGGGAACUCUUUCUUUCACGAUCAUCAUGUAUGCAAAUAUGCAAAUGCAAGCAAAGAACUUGAAUCAACAUGUCUUUGUCAUCGUCAUCUCCAUCACAAUAAACAUCAUAGACAUGGGCGAAUAUCAAGAUACAAAAGAAGUGCAGAGGAUAUGCAACGUCGUUAUCCUGUCAUGAACUUGCCUCAACCGCGGGGCACAACUUGUGGGUUAAAGGAUCCUGAACCAGAAGUACCAACACCUGUAAACAGGCAUAUAUCACAACCAAUACAAAAACAUGGACUUAACUUCUAAGCAUAUAUAAUUCAGCUUCGCUCCUACGCAUAAGACCCAGUGCAUAUCAAUCAACAUUGAUGAAAUCUGAGAAUAUAUACUUGUUCCUCUACCCAAGUCCAUACAUUAAAAUUCUGUCCAACAUAGUACAGCCCACCUUGAUAACUUCAUAGGUUUUAAUAUACCAAACAAAAUAUAAUAAAUGAUAUGUGUUUAAUCAUCUACAGAACAGCAUCUACAAAUAUCAUGUUAUAACUUUAUUUUAAUUCCACAUUUAACAGGUCCUAAUCUCCCAAAUGAAAAUACUGUACGCAGAAAACUGUAUUUCUGGACAGCAAACCAAAUAGACGGCUGCUCUCAAACCGUACAUCCAAACGAGGCAAUUAAGUACUCCACGGAAACCUUAGAACAUGCUUUACAAAUCAUAUGUAGAGCCCAACUCAAAAUUCUAAGCAUAACUAUCCCGUUUUUCACCUAGAAGCUGGCUAUCCAGAUCUGACAGUUCAGUUCUUGUGUAGUUUAUGUGCAGUAUUAACCGAACCAAGUUCAGUUUACAAGGAGAGAUACCCAACGCUCCAGAUUUUACAUGGAAGCAAUCAACACCUCGCAAAAAUAUAGAUGGGCUAUCAUCCCCAAUUGAUUUGGUUAAUCAAAGGAACUAACAAAGAGAAGGUCCAGCCUGGGUGUCAAUACCAAAUAGCUAAAAGCAUGGAGAUCACCAAUGAAUUUGCAAAUUGGUUCAGGAAUCCCUUUCCAAAUCCCGAAUCUAAUUCUAAACUAUCAACUGCUACCCAAAUCCCUAAUUAUGACCUAGGAGGCACCAUAGAAAAGGAGAACUGGGACGUACUGCUAGCGACAUGACGCCCAGCAGCCACCCCUGCUCAGCAACGACCACGGAGAGGAGAUGCGUCGGGGAGAGCAGCAACCUCGCAGCUCACGGCGGCGGCAACCACCACCAGCAGCAGCGACGGCAGCAGCCUCUGUUGGGAAGACCAGAGGAAGGCUUUGGUGAGGGGUAACAGGAGAGAAACAGGAUUUGGGCGCAGCGUACAGCGGCGCAAGGAGCGACCGAUGGCUACGCCAAGUCUGACUGGGCCUUGAGCCCAUAUAGGAUUUUCUUUCCUCUCGUUUUGGAAGGCUUAAAGAGCUAAAAUCUGCUAUUUAGUCAAAAGCACCACAUAGGCCAACUGGUAUUCAGCCUACUACUGAGAGGUCCAAGGUUCAAAUGCCAACACGCCUCUUCCAUUUAUUUCCCAUAGUCUCUCUCUCUCUCUCUNNNNNNNNNNNNNNNNNNNNNNNNNNNNNNNNNNNNNNNNNNNNNNNNNNNNNNNNNNNNNNNNNNNNNNNNNNNNNNNNNNNNNNNNNNNNNNNNNNNNNNNNNNNNNNNNNNNNNNNNNNNNNNNNNNNNNNNNNNNNNNNNNNNNNNNNNNNNNNNNNNNNNNNNNNNNNNCCUUUUCCUAUUUUAUAUCAUAGUCUACAAAUAUCGACUUUACCUUAUUCAUCUAUAUAUUUAAGCAUAUUGGCACAAUCAAUUAGCAAAAGAAAUCUGGGGCAUUACAGAUAGUUAAUGUGUUCAGUUGGCUAGAAUAGAUGUUUCAGUUGGCCAGGAUACAUUUUUUCAGUUUUGGCCAACAUGCAUGUUUAGUUGGCUAGAAAACAUGUUCUUAUUGCACAUAUACUACAUGUUUUCUAAAGUGUCCACUCACAAAUAUCCAGUGCAUGUGGGGUACAAUGCAUGUUUUAGUCAUGUUUUAAUUGGCCAGAGAACUUGUCUUAGUUGGCUUGUUUAACACAUCCAGGCGGUAGAAGCUUGCUUGGGAUGCAUCAUAUUCAGUAAAGUUGGUCUCAAACCAUGUUUAAUGUGCAACUAGGCAGCUGUGCAACAAAACCUAAAUGACUUGUGUUUAGUUGCACAACCCAGGAAAUAGUAGGCUUCCACCCAUGGUUAGUUGCAUAGUAAUUCGUGGUAGUUGUUUUCAGUUGCAAUAUGUCAUUCAUGGGGGGGAGGGGGUGGAGGGUGGUGUGAUGUGCCAGAUUCACCUCUUUUUUGAAGCAGCUUCUCCAUGGAUUUGUGCUAGAUCCAUGGAGAAGAGGGUUUACAUAUGCCUACAUAUAUGCAGUAGAAGAAAGUGGGAAGUGAAGAGGGGUAGAGGGGCAAAGUGGAUUCAUGGUAGUUGUUUUCAUCUAUAUAUUUAAGCAUAUUGGCAAAAUCAAUUAGCAAAAGAAAUCUGGGGCAUUACAUUAUCACCCCCUUAAGCAGAAUUCGACCUCGAAUUCUUCACCACAUUACUACUCAGAAAGCGGGCAUAACUGAUAACUAAGAAAUGGAAUGAAAACCAGACACCACGUACCGGUCUCGAACAAUUCCGGAUACUUUUCCCGCAUGCGUGACUCAAGCUCCCAAGUCGCCUCACGCUCGGAUUGUUGCGACCAGAGAACCUUCACAUACUUGAGCGUCUUAUUCCUCAACACUCUCUCAGACUUCUUCCAAUAUCCUCACAGGGCGAACCUCAAAGGUAAGAUCUUGCUCAAUUGUAAUUGGCUCCACAGUCAAUUGUCGUUCGGGAUCUCGGAAGUACUUACGUAGCAUGGAUACAUGGAAUACGUUAUGCACACCUUUCAUUGACUCAGGCAACUCAAGACGAUAGGCUAGUUUCCCUACUCGUGCCACUAUUAAGAAGGGUCCAAUGUACCGUGGGCUAAGCUUUCCUUUGAUAUUGAACCUGAUAACACCCUUGGUUGGUGAGACUCUCAGAAGUACCUCUUCUCCUUCCUGAAACUCCACAUUGCGCCUCUUGGGGUCGGCAUAGCUCUUUUGCCUACUCUGGGCUGCUAGCAUAUGGUGUCUAAUUUCAGCUAUUCUGUCUGUAGUUCGUUGAACCCAAUCUGGUCCCAGCACUGCCUUCUCGCCCACUGCAUUCCAACAUACUAGAGACCUACACUUUCUUCCAUACAAGGCCUCAUAAGGUGCCAUUCGAAUGCUAGCUUGAUAACUAUUAUUGUAAGCAAACUCCACAAGUGGUAGAUGAUCCUCCCAGCUCCCUUGCCACAAUAGGAUACAACAUCGCAACAUAUCUUCUAAAGUUUGGAUGGUACGCUCUGACUGACCAUCUGUUUGGGGAUGAAAUGCCGUGCUAAUCCUCAACUGUGUACCCAUUGCACUCUGCCAGCUCUCCCAGAACCUUGAUACAAACUUGGCAUCUCUGUCAGAAGUAAUAGUUUUUGGAACUCCGUGCAAUCUUACUAUCUCACGCACAUAUACCGGUGCCAAGUCACUUGCUGAGUUUGUGGUACGGAUAGGAAUAAAAUGAGCCACUUUGGUAAGUCGGUCCACCACCACCCAAAUUGCAUCCUUUCCCCUUCGGGUGCGAGGUAGGCCAACAACAAAAUCCAUGGCGACAUCAUCCCAUGGCCACUCUGGAACCUCUAAGGACUGCAACAAACCCGCGGGUCUCUUAUGCUCAGCCUUCACGAGCUGACAGACCCCACAAGAAGCCACAUACUUUGCCACGUCAACUUUCAUCCUUUUCCACCAAUAAGUCUUCAAGUCUUGGUACAUCUUUGUCUCUCCAGGAUGAACUGUGUAUGGGGUACGAUGUGCUUCUCUCAGAAUAUCCUCCUUAACAUGGGACUUUUGUGGCACACAAAGGCGGCCGUGAAACCGAACCGAUCCAGUCCCAUCUAGAGUGAAAUCUCCGGUUUUACCUUCUUGGAUGCGCUCCCGCACCUGCAACAACAACCGGUCAUUCUGUUGUGCUUCCCUCACUCUGUCUGGGAUAGCUGAUUGAAGGAUGAAUUGUGUCUCCUCAUGUGCUACACCGGCAAAACAAUAUGAGAUGCUCAUCCGCUCAAAAUCAGCAAUGUGGCAACCUAAAGUGGGAGGGACAAUCUUGCGGCUAAGAGCAUCCGCAACCACAUUUGCUUUGCCAGGGUGGUACUGGAUUGAGAGGUCAUAGUCCUUUAUCAAUUCUAACCAUCGUCUUUGCCGUAAGUUUAGCUCCUUUUGAGUGAAGAUAUAUUUGAGACUCUUAUGAUCAGUAAAAAUAUCACAAGAUUCUCCGUAAAGAUAAGGCCUCCAUAUCUUGAGUGCAAAGACCACAGCUGCAAGCUCUAGAUCAUGUGUAGGGUAGUUCUGCUCAUGCUUUUUCAGUUGCCUAGAAGCAUAGGAAAUUACCUUGCCAUCUUGCAUGAGAACGCACCCAAGACCAAUCCAAGAAGCAUCAGAGUACACUGUGAAGCGUUUCCCAGGUUCAGGUUGAGUGAGAACAGGCGCGGUUACCAAUCUAUUCUUUAGCAUUGAGAAACUAUUCUCACAUUCAGCAUCCCACCAAAAUUUCACAUCCUUUUGUGUUAGCUUGGUCCUUGGCUUGGCGAUAAUAGAGAAAUCUUUCACAAACCUCCGAUAGUAACCAGCUAAACCCAAGAAACUUCUUACUUCUUUGACAUUAGAUGGUCUUGGCCACUCUACAACUGUAGAAACUUUACUAGGAUCAACUGAGAUUCCUUCUUGGUUGAUAACGUGUCCUAGAAAAGCCACUUCAGAAAGCCAAAAUUCACAUUUCUUUAGCCUUGCAUAAAACUUAUUCUUCCUCAGGGUUUCAAGAACAAGCCUCAAGUGGCGCUCAUGAUCUUCCUCUGUCUUUGAAUAGAUAAGAAUGUCGUCGAUGAAAACAACCACAAAGUCAUCAAGGAACAUAUGCAGCAUGCUGUUCAUCAUCUCCAUGAAGAUGGCAGGGGCAUUUGUUAGUCCAAAGGACAUAACUUUGAAUUCAUAGUGCCCAUACCUAGUGGAGAAAGCAGUCUUUUCAAUAUCUUGUUCACGCACACGAAUUUGAUUAUAGCCAGACUGCAGAUCAAUCUUGGAGAACACCUUAGCUCUCUUUAGUUGAUCAAACAAAUCUUGAAUGCAAGGUAAAGGAUACUUAUUCUUGAUGGUCACGGCAUUAAGGGCACGAUAGUCCACACACAUACGCCAACUACCAUCCUUCUUAAGUAUGAACAACACAGGUGCUCCCCAGGGUGACACACUACGCCGAAUCAACCCUUUGGAUAACAUAUCAUCCAACUGUUUCUUUAAUUCUUCUCGAAGUGGGCGUGCCAAUCGAUAUGGGGACAUGGAGAUAGGUCGGGUGCCAGGAAUAACAUCAAUGCGGAAGUCAACAUCCCUCUCAGGUGGCAUACAGGCAACUCAUCAGGGAAAACAUCUACAUAAUCACAUACCACUGGGAUAGCUUCAACUGAUAACACAACAUUUGGGGUCUCGGCAAGGGCCCAUAGUAAGCCGGUCUUGACCGCUCGUUGGCCAGGGAACAAGCUAGCUAGGACAAGUAGAGAGUGUAGAGGAGCAUCUCCCUGAAAAAUCAACUCCUCGCCAGAUGGGGCCUGAAGUGAGAUGGUCCUCCAAAAGCAUGAUAUCACGGCAUGAUAUCGAUGUAGCCAAUCCAUGCCAAGAAUGACAUCGAAAGGCUUUAGUGGAAUAACCAUAAGAUUGGCUAUAAAAUCCUCAUCAUCUAUAGAUAUCGCACACCCGGGACAAACUACGGAUGAAGAGAUUGGACCACCUGGAGAACUAACAACCACUGACUGAGAAAUUUGUUGCCUAGAUAAGUUGGCCUUAUUUGCAAAUUCCGACGAUACAAACGAAUAAGUAGCUCCAGAAUCAAAAAGGACAAGUGCAUCAUGUGAGUCAACUGGAAGUAUACCUGUCAUGACAUCCGAUCGUCCCAAAGAAGCACUAGUGGGCAUGACAUAAACUCCAGGCUGUGGUGGAACAGAGGAAGACCCAACACCCUGUUGUGACGGUGCAGGUAGCUGAAGUGGAACUGUCGAUGCAGGAAAAUGGGAUGAAGCCAUCGGAACAGCCUGCCAAACGUAGCCCGGAGGUGGCACGCCAGCUGGUGGAAGUUGGGGAGUAGUAGUGUCAGCUGCUAACACAUGCAUAGAUCCCCGAGAUGAUGCAGGAGUAGUGCCAACAGGCGUCGGCUCCCACUUGAUAAUGCUGGCGGGGUUUUGACGACAUACCAGUCCCUUAUGACCCUCACGAUUGCAAUGGUGGCAUUUCCCAGUCCAGGAACACUUAGAAGCACAGAAGCACAGUGCCCUUCACCACACUUGAAACAAAUCAUGCCUUGCCCUGGCACCGGGCGAAAAGAUGGAGCUGAUGAAGAAGAACGGGGCACCGAAGAAUACUGAGACCUUGACUGCUUGAACUUUGUUGUUUGUUGCGGACGGUAAUUUCCUUUGGACUUCGUGAAAGGAGGUCGAGGAGUAGACCCACUUCCACCGCGGUAACUCACCUUUGAGUCACCACCUGUGCCCCCAGAACCUCCAGCACGAUUCUCCUGGGCUUCUGUGAGGCGGACCUCCAACUCCAUCCCUCUAGCCUGCCUAACCAUUGUUAGGUAAUCUGUAGGGGGGUUUGCUCCCAUCACUUCUCUGUACUUUGAAUUCAGCCCUCUAAAGAAUGCCUUAGCCUUCUCCGCCUCAUUACACUUCACCCGAUCCACAAAGAGUACCAUCUUACUAAAUUCUGCCUCAUACUCAUCCACAGUCAACUUCCCUUGCUUAAGGUAGUUCAACUUCACCGACAUUUCCUCCUUGAAUGAGUCUGGAUAAUACUUUGCGGUGAAUUGUUGCACAAAAAACUCCCAGGUGGGUUGCCCAUAGAUAGGAAUAUGAGCAGCACGGACUCCUGUCCACCAAUCAUCAGCAAGAUUCUUAAGGUUGAAGCGCACAAAUUGGGCUCUCUUUUGCGAAGUCAACUCCAUAGCAUCCAUAUAUUUCUCCAUGGUAUUCAACCAUGACGCUGCAUCCAUUGGCGUCCCAGUUCCAUCAAAGCAAUCAACUUUCAAACCUAUCCAGUCUUUUAAGAUCAUCCCUGGAUCAUUGUGCCCACCACUGUUAGCAGAUUCUCUUGCAAGUUCUUCUCCAUGAUGGCUAUGCUCACUUUCCGCAUGAGGUUCCUCUUCCUGAUUGUUGCGUCCUCCACGACUACGACCACGAGGACCACGACCACGACCUCUACCCCUUGGCAUAGCUAUAAGUAACAUAAUUUAUCAUCAACCAAAAGUCAUUAUUAUAUGCAAACAAGUAUGUCAACAUGAAGAGAAAACAUAAACUUAAGCGUAAUGCAAUGCAUGACCCGACCCAUCCUAUUGUGCAUCAGUGUGUCAAUUUGGUGUUCAUCCAAUAGUCAGAAUCUCAAUCAAUCCUAAAUUCAAAACUAAGUUAGGCUCUUAUCCCAAAUAGAUACACCAGGACCCCUAAAGCCCGUUCUGAUACCAACUGUAACACCCCAACCGACACAGCGCUUGGAAUAUUACCACAUAACACCUUCGAAAUGAAAACAUGCCCUCAAAAGAAUUUCGGCAGAGUUUCCUCUAUUUCUAAGGACAUCCACGACAUGCAAUUCAUAUAGUAUAUAUAUCGCAAAGAACUAGCACCGGUGUAAAGCACAAGGCUACAAUACCAUAACCGAGAACAUCCUCGGUAACUUUAGGCGAUAGCGUUAGUCUUAAGGGGAAAUUAGCUAAGCCAUACAGACCAAGAGGGUAUCUCUCCAAUUCAAGAUGAACCACCACAGGUAGUAAAGUACAACUAUACUAGGUUCUCAAAACACGGUCCUAAAGGACAAUAGGUGUGAGUUCCGUGAAGUGAAAACGGUGAAGAUGCUACUCCCAAGACUUCCAUGCAUGUCGUCCUCAGGAUUUACCUAAAACAAAUAAGCAACAAGGAUGAGUACAAAGACUCAGCAAGUACAUACAUGAAUAAUAAGCAUUACACAUGUCAAGAUACCAAAUCUCUAUUAAGCACCAUACACUCAUCAGCAAUCAACACUUGUAUUCAUGCCCUACGUGCCUACAUGCUCAUCUCAUUUCAUUGCGUAUACCGGUAUCGCUUGAGUCGACGCCCGUCGACAUCCACUCACUCCAACUUGUGGAGGUUGCCUCCACAGUAGGUCGCAACCCAACAAUGGAGGUCUCAAUGUGCCUACCCAAGGUAGGGAACUCUUUCUUUCACGAUCAUCAUGUAUGCAAAUAUGCAAAUGCAAGCAAAGAACUUGAAUCAACAUGUCUUUGUCAUCGUCAUCUCCAUCACAAUAAACAUCAUAGACAUGGGCGAAUAUUAAGAUACAAAAGAAGUGCAGAGGAUAUGCAACGUCGUUAUCCUGUCAUGAACUUGCCUCAACCGCGGGGCACAACUUGUGGGUUAAAGGAUCCUGAACCAGAAGUACCAACACCUGUAAGCAGGCAUAUAUCACAACCAAUACAAAAACAUGGACUUAACUUCUAAGCAUAUAUAAUUCAGCUUCGCUCCUACGCAUAAGACCCCAGUGCAUAUCAAUCAACAUUGAUGAAAUCUGAGAAUAUAUACUUGUUCCUCUACCCAAGUCCAUACAUUAAAAUUCUGUCCAACAUAGACAGCCCACCUUGAUAACUUCAUAGGUUUUAAUAUACCAAACAAAAUAUAAUAAAUGAUAUGUGUUUAAUCAUCUACAGAACAGCAUCUACAAAUAUCAUGUUAUAACUUUAUUUUAAUUCCACAUUUAACAGGUCCUAAUCUCCCAAAUGAAAAUACUGUACGCAGAAAACUGUAUUUCUGGACAGCAAACCAAAUAGACGGCUGCUCUCAAACCGUACAUCCAAACGAGGCAAUUAAGUACUCCACGGAAACCUUAGAACAUGCUUUACAAAUCAUAUGUAGAGCCCAACUCAAAAUUCUAAGCAUAACUAUCCCGUUUUUCACCUAGAAGCUGGCUGUCCAGAUCUGACAGUUCAGUUCUUGUGUAGUUUAUGUGCAGUAUUAACCGAACCAAGUUCAGUUUACAAGGAGAGAUACCCAACGCUCCAGAUUUUACAUGGAAGCAAUCAACACCUCGCAAAAAUAUAGAUGGACUAUCAUCCCCAAUUGAUUUGGUUAAUCAAAGGAACUAACAAAGAGAAGGUCCAGCCUGGGUGUCAAUACCAAAUAGCUAAAAGCAUGGAGAUCACCAAUGAAUUUGCAAAUUGGUUCAGGAAUCCCUUUCCAAAUCCCGAAUCUAAUUCUAAACUAUCAACUGCUACCCAAAUCCCUAAUUAUGACCUAGGAGGCACCAUAGAAAAGGAGAACUGGGACGUACUGCUAGCGACACGACGCCCAGCAGCCACCCCUGCUCGGCAACGACCACGGAGAGGAGAUGCGUCGGGGAGAGCAGCAACCUCGCGGCUCACGGCGGCGGCAACCACCACCAGCAGCAGCGACGGCAGCAACCUCUGUUGGGAAGACCAGAGGAAGGCUUUGGUGAGGGGUAACAGGAGAGAAACAGGAUUUGGGCGCAGCGUACAGCGGCGCAAGGAGCGACCAAUGGCUACGCCAAGUCUGACUGGGCCUUGAGCCCAUAUAGGAUUUUCUUUCCUCUCGUUUUGGAAAGCUUAAAGAGCUAAAAUCUGCUAUUUAGUCAAAAGCACCACAUAGGCCAACUGGUAUUCAGCCUACUACUGAGAGGUCCAAGGUUCAAAUGCCAACACGCCUCUUCCAUUUAUUUCCCAUAGUCUCUCUC